AAGUCGUAACAAGGUUUCCGUAGGUGAACCUGCGGAAGGAUCAUUACCUAGAGUUUGUGGGCUUCGCCCGCUACCUCUUACCCAUGUCUUUUGAGUACUUACGUUUCCUCGGCGGGUUCGCCCGCCGACUGGACAAAAUUAAACCCUUUGCAGUUGCAAUCAGCGUCUGAAAAACAUAAUAGUUACAACUUUCAACAACGGAUCUCUUGGUUCUG
rnacentral:misc_RNA from 1 species